CAAUAGCGUAUAUUAUAGUUGUUGCAGUUAAAAAGCUCGUAGUUGGACUUCUGGGCUUGUGUUGUGGUCCGCCUCACGGUGAGCACUGCGACAUGGGUCCUUCUUCUUGAAGACUGUGCGUGUCCUUAACUGGGUGUGUACAGGAUUUGAGACCUUUACUUUGAAAAAAUUAGAGUGUUCAAAGCAGGCCUUCGCUUGAAUACAUUAGCAUGGAAUAAUGGAAUAGGACUUCUGUUCUAUUUUGUUUGGUUUCUUAGGACUGAAGUAAUGAUUAAUAGGGAUAGUUGGGGGCGAUUAGUAUUUAAUUUAGUUCAGAGGUGAAAUUACUUGGAUUUAUUG
rnacentral:rRNA from 1 species